AUGAAGCCGACUACGACUAUGACUACGAUGCCGACUACAACUACGACUAUGAAGCCGACUACGACCACAAUGCCGACUACGACUACGAUGCCGACUACGAUUACGAUGCCGACUACAAAGCCAACUACGACUAAGAAGCCGACUAAGAAGAGAACUAAGAAGAGAACUACAACUACGAAGCCGACUAUGACGACACUUACUACUACAGCAUCACCAUCAUCAAGUACAAUCGCUCCUCCAGAACAAAAACCACCUCUCCCUUUGGUGAUAGGUAUCGUUGUCCCCUUGCUCCUCAUCAUCCUCCUCCUCAUCUUCUACCUGAUUCAUAGAUGCAGGUUUAAAAGACGAGGUAAAUAAAACCUGACACAGUAUGAGUGUAACAUAUUCUGCACACUUUAAUAU
rnacentral:lncRNA from 1 species